rnacentral:rRNA from 1 species
GAUGAACGCUGGCGGCGUGCUUAACACAUGCAAGUCGAACGAUGAUGCCCAGCUUGCUGGGUGGAUUAGUGGCGAACGGGUGAGUAACACGUGAGUAACCUGCCCUUGACUCUGGGAUAAGCCUGGGAAACUGGGUCUAAUACCGGAUACGACCAUCUGGCGCAUGUCAUGGUGGUGGAAAGCUUUUGUGGUUUUGGAUGGACUCGCGGCCUAUCAGCUUGUUGGUGGGGUAAUGGCCUACCAAGGCGACGACGGGUAGCCGGCCUGAGAGGGUGACCGGCCACACUGGGACUGAGACACGGCACAGACUCCUACGGGAGGCAGCAGUGGGGAAUAUUGCACAAUGGGCGCAAGCCUGAUGCAGCGACGCCGCGUGAGGGAUGACGGCCUUCGGGUUGUAAACCUCUUUCAGUAGGGAAGAAGCGAAAGUGACGGUACCUGCAGAAGAAGCGCCGGCUAACUACGUG